rnacentral:misc_RNA from 1 species
GCCAACAGUAAAUUCAUUGCUAAAACCGAAAUCUGCUAUUUUAAUGUUCAUAUCGGCAUCUAACAAUAGAUUUUCAGCCUUGAGGUCUCGAUGUACGAUCCGUUUCUGAUGGCAGUAUUGAACUGCAGACACAAUCUGUCUAAAUUUAGAUCUUGCUUCUUUUUCCUUCAUCCUGCCAUGUGCAACCAAAUAGUCAAAUACUUCACCUCCA